AUUGAACGCUGGCGGAAUGCUUUACACAUGCAAGUCGAACGGUAGAGGGGGCAACCCCUCGAGAGUGGCGAACGGGUGAGUAAUAUAUCGGAACGUGCCCAGUCGUGGGGGAUAACGUAGCGAAAGUUACGCUAAUACCGCAUACGAUCUAAGGAUGAAAGCGGGGGACCGUAAGGCCUCGCGCGAUUGGAGCGGCCGAUAUAGGAUUAGGUAGUUGGGGCGGUAAAGGCUCACCAAGCCAACGAUCUGUAGCUGGUCUGAGAGGACGAACAGCCACACUGGAACUGGUACACGGUCCAGACUCCUACGGGAGGCAGCAGUGGGGAAUUUUGGACAAUUGACGCAAGUCUGAUCCAGCCAUUCCGCGUGCAGGAUGAAGGCCCUCGGGUUGUAAACUGCUUUUGUACGGAACGAAAAGGUUUCCAUUAAUACUGGGAGCUCAUGACGGUACCGUAAGAAUAAGCACCGGCUAACUACGUGCCAGCAGCCGCCGUAA
rnacentral:rRNA from 1 species